UCUAUUAUCUAAUUAGUAUAAUCAUGUCUGUGUACCUGAUGCAACCUGCCUAGUGCUGGGACCUGCAGCUUUGUUCGGAGUUCAUUUAUUAACUUUCCAAACUCUGAACCCAAAUCUUUUCACAGCAUACUGUUUGCUUCAGGAGAGGAGUCUAAUUAAACUCUAGGAGAGAAGGCCAGCCUGUGGCUUAUGAGUAACAGAGUUGCACAUUAACCUGUUUCCUCCAUUUGGUACUCAGAGGUAUGGGAUGAGCGUUGGCUUUUCUGGUAACUGGAGAAAAGUGGGCAGGGGGCAAAUGCUCUUUAGGACUUUGGGUGCUUUCCUUCCCUCCAGCCCUCUUUCCUGCUCCUCUUCAGAACCCCAAGACGAGAAGAUUGUUUCAUUAUCCACGUAGUGCUGAUGCUCUCUUUCCCCUUGCAGAGAGCUGUGAGCCCCUCUGCUGCCUGCUGGAUGGUUGUGCAGCCCCACAGGACACGCAGAGCUUGGAAGGAGGAGAGAAGUGCCUCAGCAACUCUUGAAUGCAACUGUAUGAGCAACACGACUACUGCAUGCUCAGCGCAGGCAGAAGAAGACUUCUGCUUCACAAUAGUUAAACAAGUCAAGGACGUAAUUCACAUCCUUUUAAGGUUGGAAGUGAAAAACAGACUACAGAAUGACAGGAGAAAGGAAAAUGCUGGUUUUCAUGGCUUCAUCACUGUUGAACAGAGCAGCCUUAGGUUGGGUCAUUUCUUUGUGCCGGAGGACUUUUCAAAGGAUGCUGAAGCUUUCAUACUACACGGCUUACAGUGCAGAUGGAACAGGACGUGUCGUUAUGUUUACUGUGUGUGGCUGUCAGUGCUUAGCAGUAAGGUGUGCUUGGUUAUUAGCAAUGUCUGGUUCCUGUAUCACGAACCCUACGCCUGCAGCUUUUCUCCUGCCUUUGCCUCUCAGCUGUGAAUUACUGCACUGGUGUGUCUGUGCUCAGGACUACCCAGAAGGAAGCACACAAGGCCCAUUUCUGGACUUCAUGAGCUACAAUGUUCGGUGCUGCACAGGUGAGCAUGGUGUGGACAGCAGCACAUGGAUGGGCAGGUCAGGGAAGUACCACAGGGAAGAGCACAGCAAUGCCUUCGAUUCCCCCAGGCUCUUCUCAUAACAUCCUAUGCAAAAUGUCUGCAACAUGGGGAUGUUGAGCAUAGCAAAAGCACAAGCACUAGCACUGCCAGUGGAAACACUUAUCUGGAAAGAAUGUUCUUCAUUGCACCAUUGGGGAAAUUAAAUCAAAUUAAGCCGUUUCAUUUGUUGGGGUAGGAGAUUAUUCCUCAUUGUGCCAGCAAAUUCUUUACUUGCCUCCAUAAGGAAUUCAUCCAAAGUCUGAAUUUUGAAUGGCUCCAAAAUAAAACUAAUUUAAGCAGUGUCAAACGCUUACUGUCAUUCCUUCCUUAUCACUCGGAAGUGAAUCCCUUCAUUUUUCUCUCUCAUAACUUAUGAACUGCAGCACUUAUAUCUAAAUUUAGGGGGGAUGCUGUUUUGUUAUAGUGUGGACUUUACCUUGUAUAUUAACAUCUGCUUCAAAGAGAAUGUACGCACAAGCUCAGGAGAACCAACUGAUAUUUCUUUCAGCCUGAUGGUAGUCCAGGU
ensembl:lncRNA